AUACGGAGGGUGCAAGCGUUGUUCGGAAUCACUGGGCGUAAAGGGCGCGCAGGCGGUUUGAUUAGUCAGAUGUGAAAGCCCACGGCUUAACCGUGGAAGUGCAUUUGAAACUGUCAGACUUGAGUAUCAGAGGGGAAAGUGGAAUUCCCGGUGUAGAGGUGAAAUUCGUAGAUAUCGGGAGGAAUACCGGUGACGAAGGCGACUUUCUGGCUGAAUACUGACGCUGAGGCGCGAAAGCGUGGGGAGCAAACAGGAUUAGAAACCCCGGUAGUCC
rnacentral:rRNA from 1 species